AUUGAACGCUAGCGGGAUGCCUUACACAUGCAAGUCGAACGGAGUGGCGAACGGGGGAGUAAUGUAUCGGAACGUACACAGUAGCGGGGGAUAAAUACGCGAAAGCUUAGCUAAUACCGCAUACUAGUGGAGCGGCCGAUAUCGGAUUUGCUAGUUGGUGGGGUAACGGCUCACCAAGGCGACGAUCCGUAGCGGGUUUGAGAGGACGACCAGCCACACUGUGACGGAGACACGGCCCAGACUCCUACUGUAGGCAGCAGUGGGGAAUUUUGGACAAUUGGGGAAACACUGACCCAGCCAUACCGCGUGUGCGAUGAAGGCCUUCGGGUUGUAAAGCACUGUUGGCAGGAAAGCGGUACCUACAGAAUAAGCCCCGGCUAACUACGUGCCAGCAGCCGCGGUAAUUC
rnacentral:rRNA from 1 species